UUAUCGGUGGAUCACUCGGC
rnacentral:rRNA from 8 species